AAAAUAUUUCGCUCCCGGGUGGGCUCGAAUCACCAACCUUUCGGUUAACAGCCGAACGCGCUGCCUA
ensembl:ncRNA C47C12.8 ncRNA